rnacentral:lncRNA from 1 species
ACUUAUUUAAAAUUCACAUGUCCGACUUUCUUCCAGAUCCACUAAAUCAGUCCCGGCCAGAGGCGUUUUUUAUCAGGCUUCACCUGCGAGUCUCUGGCACAACUAGCUCUUCCUGAUGUGGCCAGCCGGAAACAGAAAUGGCGACUGGAACAUGAAAGAUGGGAAAACUCCUGAUGGCUAAUGGGAAGAGGACUUAUUCCCAGUACUAUGCAAGCUCUGGUCCUUUCAAGGCAGGGAUAGAGACAGCAGAAUGGAGUCAUCAACUAAAAGUGCUCGGGGAUCCAAGACUGGAGGGCAUCCUUCGGGAAGAAGACAAGAUGAGGAGGCUGCCUGAGUCUGGAGUGUCUUCAGCGCCUGAAGUCAGGAAGCAGGGAGACCUGGGAAGCAGCACCAGAAGAGACCCCCUCUUCUUACCAGGAAGAUGGGCAGUCUCUUUGCUACCUGGAAGAUGGGCAGUCUCCUUCCUACCAGGCACAGUUCCUUUUUGAGCCAAAUGCACAAUUUUACAACUGCCAUUCUCCCUACUGUCUUAUUUGUUUCACCCAUGUUAGGUCAGUGAGUUGUCUUUGAUGAAUGAAUGAAUGAAUGAAUGAAUGACCAAUGAGAUGAGGAGAUGAUUAGUGAGAGGUCAAAAGGACAGACCCCUAGAAGACAAUUAUAGGAAAAUGGAUUAGGCAAACCUAGUCUGUUCUCUUGUGUGCCGAUCUUAACGCCCUGUGAAGUCCUGGAGAAGAGUCCUUUCCCAUCACUUCCCUGAACACAGUGAAUGCAGACUGGAAACCUCUGGCCUUCUGCUACAGAACCAGUGAGGAGACAAAACAAUGUAUUCAUGUUCAGCUUCCCGGAUCGACUUUCUAUUCCUUUGGUCUCUUGUCUGUUUUCACGCAGAUCAAAGACUGCUUGUGAAAUGUUUUGGCCGUGGAAUAGAAUUUAAGAUUCACCAAGGGCAAGAGCAGACAUUAAUAAAAAAAUACCAUUUGGACCCUUUGGAACUGUGGGACCACUAUAU